rnacentral:miRNA from 1 species
GGCAGCAAGCUGCUGCCUUAUAUUAAGGCAGCAGCCAGUUCGCUGCCUUAAAAGGCAGCCAGUUCGCUGCCUUUUAAGGCAACCAGCUGCUGCCUUAUAUUAAGGCAGCAGCUUGCUGCC